AUCUGGGGCCACAGAAGCUUGAAAGCACUGAAUCCCGUCCCAUCUGCCAAGUCAAGCACGCUAUCGUAUAGUCAGCACUGGUGACCACGCGGGAAUACUCCUUCUCCUCAGAAG
rnacentral:rRNA from 1 species